GACGAAGGAUGCAAGCGUUAUCCGGAUUCAUUGGGUUUAAAGGGUGCGUAGGCGGUCUAUUAAGUCAGUGGUGAAAGCCGGUAGCUUAACUAUCGAAUUGCCAUUGAUACUGGUAGACUUGAGUACAGAUGCUGUGGGCGGAAUAUGACAUGUAGUGGUGAAAUACAUAGAGAUGUCAUAGAACACCGAUUGCGAAGGCAGCUCACAAAACUGUAACUGACGCUGAGGCACGAAAGUGUGGGGAUCAAACAGG
rnacentral:rRNA from 1 species